CUUGAUUCUCUUAAUGGUUUCU
rnacentral:siRNA from 1 species